UACGAAGGGGGCUAGCGUUGCUCGGAAUCACUGGGCGUAAAGGGCGCGUAGGCGGAUCUUUAAGUCGGGGGUGAAAGCCUGAGGCUCAACCUCAGAAUUGCCUUCGAUACUGGAGAUCUUGAGACCGGAAGAGGUAAGUGGAACUGCGAGUGUAGAGGUGAAAUUCGUAGAUAUUCGCAAGAACACCAGUGGCGAAGGCGGCUUACUGGUCCGGUUCUGACGCUGAGGCGCGAAAAGCGUGGGGGAGCAAAACAGGG
rnacentral:rRNA from 1 species